rnacentral:rRNA from 1 species
GACGAACGCUGGCGGCGUGCUUAACACAUGCAAGUCGAACGGAAAGGCCCUGCUUUUGUGGGGUGCUCGAGUGGCGAACGGGUGAGUAACACGUGAGUAACCUGCCCUUGACUUUGGGAUAACUUCAGGAAACUGGGGCUAAUACCGGAUAGGAGCUCCUGCUGCAUGGUGGGGGUUGGAAAGUUUCGGCGGUUGGGGAUGGACUCGCGGCUUAUCAGCUUGUUGGUGGGGUAGUGGCUUACCAAGGCUUUGACGGGUAGCCGGCCUGAGAGGGUGACCGGCCACAAUGGGAAUGAGGUUAGGCCCCGACUCCUACGGGAGGCAGCAGUGGGGAAUAUUGCACCAUGGGCGGAAGCCCGAUGGAGCAACGCCGCGUGCGGGAUGACGGCCUUCGGGUUGUAAACCGCUUUCGCCUGUGACGAAGCGUGAGUGACGGUAAUGGGUAAAGAAGCACCGGCUAACUACGUG